ACUAGGUAGUAUGGCCCGUCGUACUUACGUCUAUUAACCCAGUACGUGACUUUUGGUGCCUUUCCUUGCAGGACAUCGUUGAACACUGGGGAUUGGGCAAGGACAUUUAGGUCAUUUUGAGCUCCCGGAACCCUGAAAAAGGUGUGCCAAAUCCAUGUAUCAAAAGAUCCCACCUCCAGAAUGAUACUUUUUUUAUCCUUUUCUAUCCCCAUAAGCACCUUGCCAU
rnacentral:lncRNA from 1 species